CAGAGUUCAUACGCACCCAGUGUCACGGCGCAGCACUCCCAAAUCCACUAGUCAGUCUGGAGCUAUGUGUGAAAGCCUCGGGGCGUCGCAUUCCUUGAGGUUGGGAGGGAAGGGAGAGACGAGACCGAAGCAAGCUGAGGAGUUCAGUUUGCCGUGUAGACCAUUCCACCUCCAGACACCACGCUCGCACGAACUUCCGUACAGUUGCCACGCCACCUCCGACCCUUCGAGUCUACGCAGUUCAGGGUCCGUCCGUGCUAUGUGUCGUUGGGUGUGGUAAGUGCGGAGCAGCAGCUGGGAGCAUUACCCACGUGACAGGAGAUUUUGUGGUGGAGUGACGUGCCGCUGUUUGGUGGAGGCCAGCGGAUUACAAUGGAGCACGCCGCGGCACAGUAGCACAGGGGAGGAGUUGACGAUCCAAAGGCCUGACUCGCAGCGAUAAUGAGCUUCCUACUGUCAAGGAGACUAUCUCGCACUGCUCUUUCUUUGACAACGCCCACUUCUUGUCUCCGCCGAGGUUGUAUGGAGGAUGAUAGUUGGGAGGAAUCAAAAUGGACGUGAAUGGAUCGUGGAGUUAACCAUCCAAAGGCCUGACUCCGCAGCUCUCGAGCUUCCUGCUGCAUCAGGGAAGGACUCCUCCUCGCACGGCGCCUUCACUGUUCCUCCCCCCACACCCUCCCGCCACCGCAACUCAAGGCAGGGAUUUAGCCUCGCGUGGGGCCUUCACUGCGUCCCGGUAACACUCGCCGUCGUCGUCCUGCGAGGGAUUCGGCCUUGCAUCUCAAAUCCUGCCCACUCAAAACCUGCUGCUGCUGCAGCAGCAGCCGCCGGAGGGAUUCUGCGUGGGACCUUGACCUUGCCCGAUCAACUGCUGCUGCUGCUGCUGCUGCUGGCCAGAGUAAUUGUGGGUUGGUGUGGUAGUCUUCAUUUUUUUUUUUUUUUUACCAUGUGGGCUUUUCACGGGAAUUUAUGGGCUAAAGGAGAUACUAUGUACUUUACUAUGGAUUUAUGUACUUAACAGCUGUGGUGGUGUGGUGUCAUUAUUCUUUGUAAUACACGGUGUUCGUUGCCUCAUUGUGGGCCUCAUUGUGGUGGUACUGAACGUAAGAGCUGUUGUCACUAUUAAAUAAUAAAUUGUGAAGGAAUCUG